rnacentral:tRNA from 1 species
GGCGGCACCCCAUCGAGGGACACGAGGCAAGGGUCUGCAAAACCCUGAUCAUGGGUUCAAAUCCCAUCGUCGCCU